UACGUAGGGAGCGAGCGUUGUCCGGAUUUAUUGGGCGUAAAGCGUGCGUAGGUGGUUCGAUAAGUUAGAUGUUAAAUACAUGGGCUCAACCCGUGUUUGCGUCUAAAACUGUUGGACUAGAGGAUGGGAGAGGAAAGCGGAACUCACAGUGUAGCGGUGAAAUGCGUAGAUAUUGUGAGGAACACCAGUGGCGAAGGCGGCUUUCUGGACCAUUUCUGACGCUGAGGCACGAAAGCAUGGGGAGCAAACAGG
rnacentral:rRNA from 1 species